CCUACGGGAGGCAGCAGUGGGGGAUAUUGCACAAUGGGGGAAACCCUGAUGCAGCGACGCCGCGUGAGUGAAGAAGUAUUUCGGUAUGUAAAGCUCUAUCAGCAGGGAAGAAAAUGACAGUACCUGACCAGGAAGCUCCGGCUAACUACGUGCCAGCAGCCGCGGUAAUACGUAGGGGGCAAGCGUUAUCCGGAUUUACUGGGGGUAAAGGGGGCGUAGACGGUUAUGUAAGUCUGGGGUGAAAGCCCGGGGCCCAACCCCGGGACUGCUUUGGAAACUGUGUAACUGGAGUACAGGAGGGGCAGGCGGAAUUACUGGUGUAGCGGGGAAAUGCGUAGAUAUCAGGAGGAACACCGGCGGCGAAGGCGGCCUGCUGGACUGAAACUGACGUUGAGGCUCGAAAGCGUGGGGAGCAAACAGGAUUAGAUACCCGGGUAGUC
rnacentral:rRNA from 1 species